UACAGAGGGUGCGAGCGUUGUCCGGAAUCACUGGGCGUAAAGGGCGCGUAGGCGGCCUGGUAAGCGUGCGGUGAAAGCCCGGGGCUCAACCCCGGGGUCGGCCGUGCGAACUGCGAGGCUGGAGCACUGUAGAGGCAGGUGGAAUUCCGGGUGUAGCGGUGGAAUGCGUAGAGAUCCGGAAGAACACCGGUGGCGAAGGCGGCCUGCUGGGCAGUGGCUGACGCUGAGGCGCGACAGCGUGGGGAGCAAACAGG
rnacentral:rRNA from 1 species